GGGGAAACCCUGACGCAGCAACGCCGCGUGGGCGACGAAGGUCUUCGGAUUGUAAAGCCCUGUCUUCUGGGACGAUAAUGACGGUACCAGAGGAGGAAGCCACGGCUAACUACGUGCCAGCAGCCGCGGUAAUACGUAGGUAGCAAGCGUUGUCCGGAAUUACUGGGCGUAAAGGGUGCGUAGGCGGAUAUUUAAGUGGGAUGUGAAAUACCUGAGCUCAACUCGGGUGCUGCAUUCCAAACUGGAUAUCUAGAGUGCAGGAGAGGAGAAUGGAAUUCCUAGUGUAGCGGUGAAAUGCGUAGAGAUUAGGAAGAACACCAGUGGCGAAGGCGAUUCUCUGGACUGUAACUGACGCUGAGGCACGAAAGCGUGGGUAGCAAACAGGAUUAGAUACCCUGGUAGUCCACGCCGUAAACUAUGAAUACUAGGUGUAGGGGGGAACCUCCCUCUGUGCCGCAGUUAACACAAUAAGUAUUCCGCCUGGGGAGUAC
rnacentral:rRNA from 1 species